CUCAAUACGCCAAACCGUUGCGGAGUUAUAGCCUCACAAGCAUUUUUGCGUGCUUUUCGUAGAAUUUGUUCGCGUGGUAUUCGAGAACGGUUGGACGAAUCAACUUGAAUUCCAUAACUUUUUGCCAGCAUGGUCUGAAGAUGAUCUGAGCCAAUUUUCAUGAAAAUCAGACUAACCGUCUAGGACGAGUUCGAAAAAGUAGGUUUUUCGAACAAUUGAAAAUAUCGAAAAAAACUAAACCUUGCGAUUUUU
ensembl:lncRNA